UAGGGAAUCUUCGGCAAUGGGGGAAACCCUGACCGAGCAACGCCGCGUGAGUGAAGAAGGUUUUCGGAUCGUAAAGCUCUGUUGUUAAGGAAGAACGAGUGUGAGAAUGGAAAGUUCAUACUGUGACGGUACUUAACCAGAAAGCCACGGCUAACUACGUGCCAGCAGCCGCGGUAAUACGUAGGUGGCAAGCGUUGUCCGGAUUUAUUGGGCGUAAAGCGAGCGCAGGCGGUCAAUUAAGUCUGAUGUGAAAGCCCCCGGCUCAACCGGGGAGGGUCAUUGGAAACUGGUUGACUUGAGUGCAGAAGAGGAGAGUGGAAUUCCAUGUGUAGCGGUGAAAUGCGUAGAUAUAUGGAGGAACACCAGUGGCGAAGGCGACUCUCUGGUCUGUAACUGACGCUGAGGCUCGAAAGCGUGGGUAGCAAACAGG
rnacentral:rRNA from 1 species